rnacentral:rRNA from 1 species
AUGGUCUCUGUUCGCCCUCUACCUCGUAUAGAGGCCAUCUCAGACCAUGCACCCAUCCUCUUAUCUACUGGAUUGCCACGACCGCAGCACAGAGGCAAGUUCAAGUUCGAACUGGGUUGGUUGCAUCGGGAUGGAUUCCAAGACAUGGUCAAGGAGGUAUGGGAUAAACCGGUUGCCGGACUUACCCCAAUUCACAAAUGGAACAACAAAAUGCGUGCUUUAUGUAAGUUCCUUCGUGGUUGGGCUAGGCACACUGCGGGUGUCCUCAAAAAAGAAAAUCUUCGUCUUUCAUCUAUUAUUGAUGAUUUAGAAGCUUUGGCAGAGAUUAGACCUCUCUAUGAGCAUGAAAUAGAGAUCAAGAGUCAAUCGAAUGCCCAGUUAGCUCGCAUGCUACGUGAGGAGGAACUUAAGUGGUACCAACACUCAAACUCUCAGUUUAUCCUGAAAGAUGAUUCUAAUACGAGAUAUUUCCAUGGUGUCGCCAAUGAUAGACAUCGGAAGAAACUUAUUCAUUCCCUACAUCAGGAGGAGGGCACGAUUGAAGGGCAUGAGCAACUUAAGUCUUAUAUAAUGAAUUAUUACAAAAAUCUAUUUGGAAUCCCUGAGGAAGGAAACUUCUGA